GUGUGUGUGAGCGUGCGUAUAAAGCCAUUCCACGCCGCAUCCACUUCUUGCGCGGCAUUAGCGGCACAAUAAAAGCUGUCAAUAGCAGCGCACUCUUACAAGCAGCACCUUCACUUGAUCCAGGCUGUGGAACAGAGAGAAGGAUUCAUACUCCUGUGAGGAAAUCCCCCCACCUUUCGGGAACUGCCCGCUGGAUGCCGCACUGUCCUUCCUGUGCUCCCUCCCUGUGUAUCUGCAGUGGAUUUCCAUGCCAUAACUGGUGCGUGUCCAUUUGGAAGACUUGGAAGUAGCCUCUUUAAGGCUUCCUACUGCUGUGAGGAAAUUGCACCUUCUUUUGGAAACAGUCUGCUGGAUGCCUCAGUGUUGUUCCUGUGUUCCCUGCCUAUGUCUCUGCAGUGAAUUUCUCUGCAAUAACUGGUGUGUGUUCAGUUAGAAACAGCCUCUGUGGAUAUACCCUGCCUUGUGCCCAUGAAGUUGACGAGCACCACAACUCGCAUCCACAAGAAGCACUUCCUACUUUUGACUGGCAUAUACAGUAAUGGACCUUAGCAACAAAAGGGACCAAAACUUGAAGAUGUGCUGUCAGCUGGAUGCAAAUGCGAAUUGUUAAGUUGUGUGUCGUUUGUCGAAUGGCAGAUCAUGCUAAUGGCGUGUUUGCUUAUUUGCCUUUGUGUGUCAUAGUUCACUCAUAUGACCUGAAGCAUUUUUAGCAGGAGCGUUCCUUUUGGUGUCCUGCUUUGCAAAGUUUUCUAAUCUUACAGUCCUUUGCUUCUCGUCAGUUGAAAGAGGAACCUUUGACCCUGAGCUUGAGAAGGAAUAGUCAUUUAGUAUUGAGCCAGUAUUCAAGCCAGUCUGGCAUGUCUGCUACAGAGGACAGUGUAGGUCUUUUUGCCUCUCCGAAUGCAAUCCAACUCAGGCUGCCCAACACUGUGGCCCGGCUCAUAUACAAUGACAUAUCAACAAGCAGUAAAUCUUACGUUGAGGCAAUACUUCCCCACAUAACCACUGGAGCUCACUAUGUUCAUUUAUGUUCAGGUUUAGAGCGUCGUCUUAGGUCCCAGUGCUCAAAAGUGGCAUGUAGGUUUCGAAAAGCGAAGGGUAGUAGAAAGCAGCAGUUCUUGACAAACGUUAGUAUGAUGUCAUUUCCUGUUCCAUUAGAAACCCUAUUUCCUCUGGAAGUGCUACCUUCCCCAGAGGAAACGGUCAAGUACAUGCAAAUUGAAUUACAGAAUAAAGAAAAAGAAAAUGAGGAACUCAGACAAACUGUGCAGCAGCUUGAGAGUCUCGUUCAAGAUCUGAGGAAAGAGUGUUCCGUUUUGAAAAACAAGCUAGGUGAACAUAAUGUCUGAACUUUUAGGUAAUAAAGCACCAACGUGAACCAGGAAACAUUCCAAAAGCCCAACAGGGUCCCGGCAGGAGUAGCAGUGACUUCCAGUAAGAACUUCUGGUGGUAUCACACGUAAAGGUUUCCUACUAAGCUAUUAUGCAAAGGAAUGUUUUGUGCUAAAUAAGUAAGUACAAAGGGUUGUGGAGAUCUUUAAUUGGUGUAGGCCUUGUAAAAUUUCAGAGCAUUGUAAAAUAAAUUCGGGGCAUCACUUGUACGUGGUGUUUUUUAUCAAUUGCACAAAUUGAAAAGCCUCCAAUCUUCUUGGUAUUUAUUCGAUGGAUGUCGUAUUUUGUUUCCUGCUUUUCCUUAUUAGUGUUGAGUGUUCUUUUGCUUGCGUAGUUGUCUAGGCUGGCAGGGAAAACAUAAUAAAAAAAGCAGCAGCAUACU
rnacentral:lncRNA from 1 species